UCCUCGAUUCUGUUGUCUUUUGGCCGAUCACAGUAACAGACGUCUCUUAAACUCGCACUUUACUUAGGCACGUACGAUUAGGCGAGGAAUUUAACCAUAUCGAACUAGAUUUUUCUUGGGAAAAGAAAUCUAUCAGAACUUGAUCUGUACAUAUAGUUAUUAUUAAUUAUAAAAUUUUCGGAAAAGGAGAAAUUAUAUUGAUCGUACUGGCUAGAAAUUCAAUCAGAAGAACACACUAAACGAUGGAUUUCAAAUUAAACUUGUUAUUCAUUCUUGUUGUCUUUAACAUGUUUAGCAUGGGAUACCUAUGUCCUGUAAAAUAUAUUCCUAAGUAUUGUCGCCUUAAGUUUGACUCUGGUCCUUGUCUUUCACCAGUGACAAUAAAGAAUGCAAGUUAUCAAUGGAGAUAUUGGUUUUCGACAGAAACCGUAGAUUGUCAUACUUUCAUGUACGGGGGCUGCGAUGGAAAUAAAAAUAAUUUUUUAAAUUAUGAAGCAUGCAUGAGAACAUGCGCACCGUGACAUGUAUACAGAAAAUCACAUUUAGCGUAAAGAAUAUUUUAAAUCCACUCGGGAAUAUAAAAUUCUUUAAAACAUUAUAUUUUUAAGGGUUUUCUAUACAUUGAUAUGUAUUUGUAAUAGAUUAAUAUUGAGUUUAAAUUGAAAUACUAAAUGGAAGACACUGUGAAAUCUUUAUAAAAUACUUGUAAAAGUGUUUUAUUUUUACAUUAAAUGACUCUAAUAAAAUAAAAUGUACAGAUAUGUAUAUGAAAUAUGUAUGUCAAUAAAGGAGAGAAAGUACUUCUAAAUUUA